rnacentral:rRNA from 1 species
UACGAAGGGGGCUAGCGUUGCUCGGAAUCACUGGGCGUAAAGCGCACGUAGGCGGCUUCUUAAGUCAGGGGUGAAAUCCUGGAGCUCAACUCCAGAACUGCCUUUGAUACUGGGAAGCUUGAGUCCGGGAGAGGUGAGUGGAACUGCGAGUGUAGAGGUGAAAUUCGUAGAUAUUCGCAAGAACACCAGUGGCGAAGGCGGCUCACUGGCCCGGUACUGACGCUGAGGAGCGAAAGCGUGGGUAGCAAACAGG